CCUACGGGAGGCAGCAGUAGGGAAUCUUCCGCAAUGGACGCAAGUCUGACGGAGCAACGCCGCGUGAGUGAUGAAGGUUUUCGGAUCGUAAAGCUCUGUUGCCAGGGAAGAACAGGUGUGAGAGUAACUGCUCAUGCUGUGACGGUACCUGAGGAGAAAGCCCCGGCUAACUACGUGCCAGCAGGCGCGGUAAU
rnacentral:rRNA from 1 species